rnacentral:rRNA from 1 species
UACGUAGGUGACAAGCGUUGUCCGGAUUUACUGGGCGUAAAGAGCGCGCAGGCGGUCGUUCAAGUCGAGUGUGAAAGCCCCCGGCUCAACUGGGGAGGGUCACUCGAUACUGAUCGACUUGAAGGCAGGAGAGGGAAGUGGAAUUCCCGGUGUAGUGGUGAAAUGCGUAGAUAUCGGGAGGAACACCAGUGGCGAAGGCGGGUCUCUGGGCCGAUACUGACGCUGAGGAGCGAAAGCGUGGGGAGCGAACAGG